AUGGUUUGGAGACGCUGAGAAGCUCACCAAAGCCCUUUUCUCGUUUGCAAGUCGGCUAGCUCCUGUUAUCAUAUUUGUGGAUGAGGUUGACAGCUUACUUGGUGCAAGGGGUGGUGCAAUGGAACAUGAAGCAACGAGAAGGAUGCGCAAUGAAUUUAUGGCAGCUUGGGAUGGUCUAAGGUCCAAAGAUAGUUAAAGGAUCCUUAUUCUUGGUGCAACAAAUUGUCAGUUCGAUCUAGAUGACGCUGUAAUACGGCGUUUGCCUAGGAGGAUAUACGUCGACCUUCCGGAUGCGCAGAAUAGGAUGAAAAUUCUCAAGAUUUUACUUGCCAAA